rnacentral:rRNA from 1 species
CCCAGACUCCUACGGGAGGCAGCAGUGGGGAAUAUUGCACAAUGGGGGAAACCCUGAUGCAGCGACGCCGCGUGAGCGAAGAAGUAUUUCGGUAUGUAAAGCUCUAUCAGCAAGGAAGAAAUUGACGGUACCUGAGUAAGAAGCUCCGGCUAAAUACGUGCCAGCAGCCGCGGUAAUACGUAUGGAGCAAGCGUUAUCCGGAUUUACUGGGUGUAAAGGGAGCGUAGGCGGCCUGCCAAGUCUGAUGUGAAAUACCGGGGCUCAACCCCGGGGCUGCAUUGGAAACUGGCAGGCUGGAGUGUCGGAGAGGCAGGCGGAAUUCCUAGUGUAGCGGUGAAAUGCGUAGAUAUUAGGAGGAACACCAGUGGCGAAGGCGGCUUACUGGACUGUAACUGACGUUGAGGCUCGAAAGCGUGGGGAGCAAACAGGAUUAGAUACCCCUGUA